AUUGAACGCUGGCGGCAGGCCUAACACAUGCAAGUCGAACGAGUGGCGGACGGGUGAGUAAUGUCUGGGAAACUGCCUGAUGGAGGGGGAUAACUACUGGAAACGGUAGCUAAUACCGCAUACCAUCAGAUGUGCCCAGAUGGGAUUAGCUAGUUGGUGGGGUAACGGCUCACCAAGGCGACGAUCCCUAGCUGGUCUGAGAGGAUGACCCGCCAAACGGGGACGUAGGAACGGGCCAGACUCCGACGGGAGGCAGCAGUGGGGAAUAUUGCAAAAUGGGCGCAAGCCGGAUGCAGCCAUGCCGCGUGAAUGAAGAAGGCCUUCGGGUUGUAAAGUACUUUCAGCGGGGAGGCGUUACCCGCAGAAGAAGCACCGGCUAACUCCGUGCCAGCAGCCGCGGUAAUAC
rnacentral:rRNA from 1 species